GGACUACCGGGGUAUCUAAUCCUGUUUGCUCCCCACGCUUUCGUACCUCAGCGUCAGUAUUGGUCCAGAAAGUUGCCUUCGCCAUUGAUGUUUCUCCCGAUAUCUACGCAUUUCACCGCUACACCGGGAAUUCCACUUUCCUCUACCAUACUCUAGAUAUCCAGUAUCGGAUGCAGUUCCCAGGUUAAGCCCGGGGAUUUCACAUUCGACUUAAAUAUCCGCCUACGCACGCUUUACGCCCAGUAAUUCCGAUUAACGCUCGCACCCUCUGUAUUACCGCGGCUGCUGGCAC
rnacentral:rRNA from 1 species